UACGUAGGGUCCGAGCGUUGUCCGGAAUUACUGGGCGUAAAGAGCUCGUAGGUGGUUUGUCGCGUUGUUCGUGAAAACUCACAGCUCAACUGUGGGCGUGCGGGCGAUACGGGCAGACUAGAGUACUGCAGGGGAGACUGGAAUUCCUGGUGUAGCGGUGGAAUGCGCAGAUAUCAGGAGGAACACCGGUGGCGAAGGCGGCCUGCUGGGCAGUGGCUGACACUGAGGCGCGACAGCGUGGGGAGCAAACAGG
rnacentral:rRNA from 1 species